UCUCCGUAGGUGAACCUGCGGAGGGAUCAUUACCGAGUGAGGGCUCACGCCCGACCUCCAACCCUUUGUGAACACAUCUUGUUGCUUCGGGGGCGACCCUGCCGUUCGCGGCGUGGGGCCCCCGGAGGCCAUUAAACACUGCAUCAUUGCGUCGGAGUUAAAGUAAAUUAAACAAAACUUUCAACAACGGAUCUCUUGGUUCCAGCAUCGAUGAAGAACGCAGC
rnacentral:misc_RNA from 1 species